rnacentral:rRNA from 1 species
UACGUAGGGCGCAAGCGUUGUCCGGAAUUAUUGGGCGUAAAGAGCUCGUAGGCGGCUUGUUGCGUCGGUUGUGAAAGCCCGGGGCUUAACCCCGGGUCUGCAGUCGAUACGGGCAGGCUAGAGUGUGGUAGGGGAGAUCGGAAUUCCUGGUGUAGCGGUGAAAUGCGCAGAUAUCAGGAGGAACACCGGUGGCGAAGGCGGAUCUCUGGGCCAUUACUGACGCUGAGGAGCGAAAGCGUGGGAGCGAACAGG